GGGGAAUUUUGGACAAUGGGCGCAAGCCUGAUCCAGCCAUUCCGCGUGAGUGAAGAAGGCCUUCGGGUUGUAAAGCUCUUUCGCAAGGGAAGAAAACUUACAUUCUAAUAAAGUGUGAGGCUGACGGUACCUUGAUAAGAAGCACCGGCUAACUACGUGCCAGCAGCCGCGGUAAUACGUAGGGUGCGAGCGUUAAUCGGAAUUACUGGGCGUAAAGCGUGCGCAGGCGGUUUGGCAAGUCAGAUGUGAAAUCCCCGAGCUCAACUUGGGAACUGCGUUUGAAACUGCCAGACUAGAAUAUGUCAGAGGGGGGUAGAAUUCCACGUGUAGCAGUGAAAUGCGUAGAGAUGUGGAGGAAUACCAAUGGCGAAGGCAGCCCCCUGGGAUAAUAUUGACGCUCAUGCACGAAAGCGUGGGGAGCAAAC
rnacentral:rRNA from 1 species